CUGAGACACGGCCCAGACUCCUACGGGAGGCAGCAGUAGGGAAUCUUGCGCAAUGGGCGAAAGCCUGACGCAGCAACGCCGCGUGGGGGAUGAAGGCCUUCGGGUUGUAAACUCCUUUCAGUGGGAACGAAAUUGACGGUACCCACAGAAGAAGCCCCGGCUAACUACGUGCCAGCAGCCGCGGUGAUACGUAGGGGGCGAGCGUUGUCCGGAUUUACUGGGCCUAAAGAGCUCGUAGGCGGCUUGAUAAGUCGGGUGUGAAACCUCCAGGCUUAACCUGGAAUCGCCACUUGAUACUGUCAUGGCUGGAGUCCGGUAGGGGACCAUGGAAUUCCUGGUGUAGCGGUGAAAUGCGCAGAUAUCAGGAGGAACACCAGUAGCGAGGGCGGUGGUCUGGGCCGGUACUGACGCUGAGGAGCGAAAGCGUGGGGAGCGAACAGGAUUAGAUACCCUGGUAGUCCACGCCGUAAACGUUGGGCACUAGGUGUGGGGCUCUAUCGACGGGUUCCGUGCCGCAGCUAACGCAUUAAGUGCCCCGCCUGGGGA
rnacentral:rRNA from 1 species